GCAAACUUGGUCAUUUAGAGGAAGUAAAAGUCGUAACAAGGUUUCCGUAGGUGAACCUGCGGAAGGAUCAUUAACGAGGAAAGGGUGCUUGCACCCCUACCCACCCGUGUUUACUGUACUUCUGUUGCUUUGGCGGGCCCGCUGUUCACAGCCGCUGGCACCUUUCGGUGCUGGCCAGCGCCCGUCAGAGGACUUUAGAACCUAUGUCAACUAUACCGUCUGAGUGUCUUUGAAUAGUUAAAACUUUCAACAAAGGAUCUCUUGGUUCUGGCAUCGAUGAAGAACGCAGC
rnacentral:misc_RNA from 1 species